GAGGAGGGGCCAACAUGAGAAGACGUGAUGUGAAGGAUCCUGCUGAAGCAGAGGAGGAGGAGAGUCUGAGCUGAAGGAGCUCAAGCUGCUGCACUCUUUGUCUUGUUUGGAGCCUUGUUGAGUUCACUAUGCUGCUCUACUCAGUGCUACUCCUCACGGUCAGAGCAGGACUCGCUUAUGGAGAUGAGAUUACUCCAGACAGGACUGAGGUGUCUGAUGUGGAGGGAUCUGAUUUAACCCUUUCAUGCAGCUACUCCUCUUCAGUUUCAGUCUAUUUACUGUGGUAUCGACAGCAUCCAAACUCAACUCCCCAGUAUCUUCUAACCACUUACACUGUUGAUACAAAUGGCUUGAAAUCAAGCGUAGACCCCCGUCUGUCUGCAAGAAUGACUCAAGAGAAAGUCUAUCUGAAUCUCUCCUCUGCUGAACUCUCAGACUCUGCCCUCUACUACUGUGCCCUGCAGCCCACAGUGAAUGACAAACACACAUCCCCAUACAAAAACCUAUGACAGGAACAGACAGGCAGGCAUACCUUAUGAGUGCAGUUGUCAUUUAAAACUGAGGGAGUCAUAAUCAUAUUAUAAGACAAGAGCAGUGGGCUGAGGUUAUACAAUUAUGAAAGAUAAUUAAAACAUGUAUUUUAUUUACAAAACAAUCCCUGUCAUUCCCAUGCAGUUUUCAACAGCUA